UCGCACUGUUAAUUCUUCCCUUAAUCUUCUUCAAAAACUAAAAUUCCCUUCCGAGGUAAUCUUCCUCGAAUCAAUCUCGGCCCGAGUCCGCAAAUUCGUAAAUGAAUCGAUUUAAAUUAGGUUUAGAUUGUAUUGACAACUUCUUCAAGAUUUAGAUCUUUAGAUUUAGAUCUUUUAACAAACUGACGAACUUUCCAUUAUAGCUUCCGAUGGUUCGAUAGGACGAUAAUCUGCGUUUCGUAGGAGGAUCGUUAAUUCAAAACAACGCAACGGCCAGAAACACACUGAACUGCUUGCCAGCGAUCUUCGAGGAUUAAUAUAACCUUCGAGGCGUUUGCGUGAUCACGCGUUUGUCUAUGUGAAUAAACGUAUCGCGCCGGGAGUAUAAUUAGUCCGGACUGCGAAUGCUGAUUUCGUGUGUUUGGCAAUCAAGCUAUCGCCAUCUUUUUACGACCCUUUCACGCCUCAUAUUUUAUCCCGUAAAGUACCUGUCCACCCUUGUUCGAAACCACUUCACUUUAUCAUCGUCUUUCUUAUUGGGAAAAACACAAAGUACAUUCUCGCUCAAACAUCUUCGAAUAAUUAUUGUACCUGCUUUAAAGUCAGAAGAAUUAAGUAAAUAAUGAGGUGGAUAAUAAAGUAGCUAAUAAAGGUUAAAGUGGGGAAGAAAUUUCAAUUAGAAACGGUAGUGUUGCAGCUACAUCGUUUAUGUAAUUCCUUCCUCCAGAAGACAAAAAAAAAAAAAAGAAAAAAGGAAGAAAAAGGAACAGAAAAGAAAAGAGAAAGGAAAAAAAGAACGACGAGGAUGGUAUUGUGUUUCUCAUUAAGCUCGACCAACACCGAACGAAUCUUCCAUUGAAAAAAGCUUUUAUCCUUUUUGCCCUCGUUUAAGAUGUUAUUAAAAAAUAUUUCUCACUGGACUUGCUCCCUUAACACAUUCACCGCUACCAAAAUACAACAUGCUUAACUGUGAAAUGGAUUUCUUUUUCCCUCGAAAUGAAUUGAAAAAUGUAAAUAAUAAUUUUUGUCUUGACACACUGUGACUCGGUUCGUUCUUUGUCUUUAUGUCAACGAAACGUUAGAAAAGACAAAAAUGUGGCAAUUACGUAAGCAGAAUUAUUUUCUUGGAGAUAAUUGAAUCAACGCAACGUAUACGUCGGAACGUGUUGAAAGUGACGUUUGCAAUAACUGAACUACGUUAAACGAGAGAAUAAGUUAAUCGUCAAGCUCGUCGAUGAGUUAUCGAGGCCAUCGGCCACACGUGGAUCGAGCGGUGGUUAUUCGGUGCCUCAAUGUUUAAUAAUAUCGAAGUGGAGAGAUGGAGAAAAAAGAAAAAAAAAGAAAGAAAAGGAGAAGUUGCUAAUGGAAGCGUACGGCGAACCUUGGGUGUAUAAAAAAUUCACGACAGAACUUUUCCAACGCAGAGGCAAAUGAAAUUAAGUCGUCUUUUGAUAAUCCAUUAAUUAACUUCCCACUAAAAAAUCAAUAGUUGGCCGUAGUUUUUAAUAAAAAAAAUGGAGGACGAAUUUAAUGCCAGUGUCUGUCAAAUUCGCACCCUUAGAGCAUCGAAAUUUCAAAGUGGUUAAUAGUCAAUGAAUUUUAUAUAUAGGACGCUGGCUGUUUUUAAUAGCCAGCGCAAUUCACAUUCUUGAGACGCCUCUAUUGUGCGAAUGAUAUGCACAUGCAAUUUGCGAUAGACAGCUCAGUUAUUGAUAUCACAGACUGUACUCAACAUAGGAUGAAAUUUUAUUAUAGUUUUCGCAAAUAUACAAGUUCUUGCUACAGGUUUCACUGCUGAAUAAAUUUUCCUAUUUCUGUUUUAAUACAGUCUUUAGGUUAUGCAUAUUUGGAUACACGUUCGAUACUUUAUAUUAUUAUUAUAAAAUUAAGGAUACUAAAAGCUA